GACACGCUGGCGGCGUGCCUAACACAUGCAAGUCGAACGGAGAAGUUGAUUUCGGUUGACUUCUUAGUGGCGAACGGGUGAGUAACGCGUGAACAACCUGACCUCAAGAGGGGGAUACCAACGAGAAAUCGUUGUUAAUACCGCAUAAGACCACAGCGCCGCAUGGCAAAGGGGUCAAAGGAGCAAUCCGCUUGAGGAGGGGUUCGCGUCCCAUUAGGUAGUAGGCGGGGUAACGGCCCACCUAGCCAGCGAUGGGUAGCCGAGCUGAGAGGCUGAACGGCCACACUGGAACUGAGACACGGUCCAGACUCCUACGGGAGGCAGCAGUGGGGAAUAUUGGGCAAUGGGCGCAAGCCUGACCCAGCAACGCCGCGUGAGGGAAGAAGGUUUUCGGAUUGUAAACCUCUGUCGCAGAUGACGAAGGAAGUGACGGUAAUCUGUGAGGAAGCCCCGGCUAACUACGUG
rnacentral:rRNA from 1 species